GCGCACCGCAGCGCAGCGCAGCGGCCGGGGGGUGCGGGCGCCCUCGCCGCCCGGCUACCUACCGCCGCCUGGGCGCCGCCGCUGCCUCCCUUCCCCGCUUCUACCCUCCAGCAGACGCCCGCCGGAGCGACCCCUCCCAGGGUGACCGGGGGAAGGUGUUCCACGUGGCCAUAGCGUUUGCGUCACAAUGACCUGGCGGACAGGUGGGAGCCACAGCGUACACCCCAGGGUUCCCUCUGUGCUGUGCGUAGUGCCUACUGCUUGCUUCCAGGUUAAAUUUCUGUAGCUUUAGAGGACAGGAGACUUCAUGACUUCACUGCCAAGAAAAGUUACAGAGGCCUGCUGUACCUGGAAAUCAAGUUUGAGCUUCGAGAAUAAAGGUCAUGUUUUAAAAACAGCUGUAACACCAGUAAGGUGCUAGUGAGAACCCGAAACAGUUUCUAAGGAGAAUGGCUAUUGAAUGAUGGGAUCAGAAAUUAGGAGAGAAAUAAGGCUAUAAUGAAGAGAGGAGCCUUGUUUUACACUAAAAGAAAGAUCGCCUUUGGCCAUGCAGGUGAGGGCAACACCUUGGGAAUGGCAAGGAACCUGGGCCUCUGACCCCCCUGAGCUGCCAUAUUGCCUUGGCCCUUCUGCCUGGAUUGUUUUAUGAGAAGGAAAUAAAGUCACUAUAUUUUAAAAAUAUUAUUGCAGCUCAGCCUUUAUCCUCAUCAAUCCAGUUGUCUGCCCCAUGACAUUGGAUUGGACCUUCAUUUCUCAUGAAGUUUGUAUUCUGAAACAAUGAUUCUCGAUCUGUGGGUCCCAGGACCAUGAGGGUCUGUGGUGGUGACACAAAGGAUCCUAGGAUUCAAAUCCCUAACAAGUAAUGCCCACAAACAGAACCACUUGCUUGACAAACAGAAACAACACUUUUUGGAAUGUAUAUGAUGUGA
rnacentral:lncRNA from 1 species